GGUCACGAGUGACAGCACGCAUGGACCCCGGUCCGCUGUCCGGCAACCCUCCUUCCGUGGCGGGGUGCUCCCGGGUGAUGACCGGGCCGCGGGCAGCAAGGUCCGCGGCAAGCGCGGAUU
rnacentral:ncRNA from 2 species